GUUGGAAAGCCCCAAAAACACUAUACAAAAAAAAAACCCCCAAAAAGAUCCCCCUUUCAGAACUAAAACGAUGUAUUAGAUCCCUUUCUUCUCGAACUCUCUUCGUCGUACAAUCACCGCCGUUAGCACCGUCAACUCACUUCGCCGCUUUAGUUUCAGACUCGUUUUUUCUCAGCGUGUUUUGCUGAACAUGAAGGACUGCCAAGGAAUCGUAGAUGGAGCUAAGACGAGCGUUAAAGCAAAGAACUGUUUGGAACCGCACUAGAAUCUCAUCUUCAUUUGGCUGAAGCUGAAGAACUCUUGUGUACUUGGAAGUUUGAUUAGGAUUCAAGUUCAUGCAAUUCAAGGUUAGGGUUUAGAGGACUAACACAAAUUAAGAUGCUGCAUGCUGCAAUGAACCCUUUUUAAAAUUAGCUAAAUUCAAAACUGCAAAAGUAAUUCAAAGAGGAGGCAAAGAUAAUGAUGCAGAUGAUGAUAAUUCCAUGAAGACAAUGAAAUGAGUGGAUGAUGUUUUUCCUUUAAGCUUGUAAUUGUAAACCACUGUAUUUUUUUUUUCUUUUGUUAAGCUUAUACUUCAAAGUAUUAAAUAUAGUAUUAGGUAUUGUUAGGCAUUUUAUUUACUAGUGUACUUAAAUUGAUGUUUAAACGCAACUUUAUA
rnacentral:lncRNA from 1 species